UACGUAUGGUGCAAGCGUUAUCCGGAUUUACUGGGCGUAAAGGGAGCGCAGGCGGCGCGCCAAGUCUGAUGUGAAACCCCGGGGCUCAACCCCGGGCAUGCAUUGGAAACUGGCGGGCUGGAGUGCCGGAGAGGUAAGCGGAAUUCCUAGUGUAGCGGUGAAAUGCGUAGAUAUUAGGAGGAACACCAGUGGCGAAAGCGGCUUACUGGACGGCAACUGACGCUGAGGCUCGAAAGCGUGGGGAGCAAACAGG
rnacentral:rRNA from 1 species